UAUCGGUCCGUGGUUAAUUUAGAACGCUGUGUCUGUACUUAUCUAAUACUUCUGAAUGCAAAAGAAGACUGAAUUUAUUUCGGAAUUUUCCACAGUUGUUCAUCUUCGUACUGGUGCUAAGGCCUAUUAAUCAAGGACAAGGCUGCCUCUACCAAUGUUGUGAAUCUCAUAUAUCAUGGACAUUUAAACCUCCAGGGAAGGAAAUCAGAUAGGCCAAGUUAAAAUAUCUUUCUUUCUAAAUCUUAACUGUUAGCACACAAACUUGGUGCAUAGCUAUGAUGGGUAUAAAGGAGGAAAACUGUGAAAUUCAUAACCCCCAAUCUAAUUAAAGUUAGAUCUUUAAUCUCCUUAGGUAUUAUUAUGUCACUACACAAAGCACAAUCACUGGAGCGGAACAAAGAUCUGAUUUUAAUCAGAUUGUUUAACCCAUGGGUUAGAAGUUUCAACAUUAAGAAUGGGUUUUAUGGCUCAUAAACUGAAAAUUAAUUUACUUUAUAAGAAACACUCUGUCCUUUUGAAGAUCUGUAUUAUGUACAUACACUAAACUUAAUUUACACAAAGGUGGGAAAUAUUUCCUAAAGAGUCCCUUUAAUUACUCCCUGCUUAAUGGUGUGGUUUCUGGGGUUAGUAAUGAAAAUCCACCAUUCUUGGAUCACAUGUGGUAGGUAAUUGCUCCACAUACAAUGCAUUCUAGCAUCAUUAACCGAAUUUAUGUCAAAAUUCUGAUUUCAUUUCUAUCUAUUUGCAGGCGAUGACAGUGUAUCAAAUCAUGGACUAGAAUUCCAUCACAGACGAAUAAAUUAUCUUAUAUCUCAGACAGGGGAGUAUACACAACCACACAGAGAUUUUUAGACAAUAAUUUCAUCGGCAAUCUAAUUAAUAUUAGAUCAUUUGAUUGUGUAGUCAUACAUGUGAGUGGAUCAAAGGAUCUGAUUUUAAUUAGAUUGUUUUAUUGGUUUUAAAUAUGGUGAUCAACCUAUUUUUAAAAGUCUUUUAUUUAAAUUAAGAUCUAGAGCAAAGCAUUUAAAUUGGAGAUUGAUAUUUGGGCAGUAUGACGACACAGUGAAGUUCAGUAUUUUUUAUGGUUGUAGAUAAUUGGUGAUCUAGUAUACAGAAUUGGCACCACUCACAAUCACCCUUUAUAGUAUAUGGUAAACUUUCGUGUCAUGAAAAGGUGAAGAUAACAGACAAUGAUCAAUGUCGUAACUCCUAUAAGAAACUCAUACAAAACCUCAAACCCCUGGACAUACGAGAGGUGCUAGAAUAAUUCUUGUCUCAAUUCUAGGUUCACUGUUGUUGAUUUGCAGGUGGUGACGGAGUAUCUGGCCAAUUUAGUGACAGAAAUUCCACCAGUUUAAUACAGAAAAAUCCAGCAUUAUCACAGACAGGGACAUAUGAUCCAGCAGCACAAACAAUGUUAAUUUACUUUAGAUAAUAUUCUUCCAGGUAUUGAACUAGUAAAAUGUUUUAGCUCACCUGAGCUUUUUUUGAUCAUCCAUACUCUGUAAUCCGUGUGUUUGUGUUUCUGUAAACUACACUUUUCUGUGUCCUCUAGAAAGACUGGGCCAAUUUCAACCAAACUUAGCACAGAGCAUCCUUAGGUAAAGGGUUUCAAAACUGAUAAGAUUUAUAGGGCAGAUAAUUAAAAAAAGAAGGUAAAAAUGUGGUGCAGUUGUUUAAAAUUGUCUUUUCAAGAAUCACUGGGCUGGAAAAGAUGAAAUUUUCUGUAAAAAGUUCUAAGAUAGUGUACAUUCUAAUUUAUUUCAAUUAUUUAUUUCAUGAGACAUGGUUGAGUCACAAUAGGGAUUCAAGGUUUUAAAAUGGAAAUAAGUUUUAAAUAUCUUCCGAAGAGUAAGAUGGUGAUUAAUCAAAUUAAUAUGCAUCCAUCCUGAUAUAGUGCAGAUUCCAAGAUAUUCAAAUUUAGGAUGUUUUACAUUUUCAACUCCACCUAAAAGAUAUUUUCUGAUUCAAGGCUAAUUUCUCUCACCUGUGGCACACAUUAUCUUAAAUGUGGGAGAAUCGGGUUAUUUCCUUCAAAUAAAGGGAUCAUGCUUCCUUCCAGGAUUCAAGAUCACAAUGUGAUUAUGGAAUGUAGAAAAUGUAUAGAGGAGACUGGCUAUGACUGGGAACACCCCCUUCCAUUACCAUGCAGUAGGACUUAAUGACUAUGUGAAGGAUUGUGGUCAAACUGGACUGCAUGAAGAACAAAGUAAAAGUGUAAGGUGAUUGAAGUUGCAGUUCUUCGCAAAUCCCAGGACCCAUACUGCUGGACUUCCAACUGAUUCAUGCUGGUAGUAUUUAAUGCCCUGCCUAUUCGACCACAUACCAAAUCACUGAUGAACAGUAUGGACCAGCCAAGUGAUUGGGAAUAUUUCGAUACAAGCAGUGAUGGUAUUGAUGAUGAACGACCCUGAGUCUGAAGAUCUAUGAUGAACAAUGGACACUGGGGCCAUUAUCUCUUCUGUACUACAAAUCUAA